CCUACGUGAGGCAGCAGUGGGGAAUAUUGCGCAAUGGGCGAAAGCCUGACGCAGCGACGCCGCGUGAGGGAUGAAGGUCUUCGGAUCGUAAACCUCUGUCAGCAGGGAAGAACGGUCACUGUGCUAAUCAGCAGUGAAUUGACGGUACCUGCAAAGGAAGCACCGGCUAACUCCGUGCCAGCAGCCUCGGUAAUACGGAGGGUGCGAGCGUUAAUCGGAAUUACUGGGCGUAAAGCGCUCGUAGGCGGUAUGUCAAGUCAAGGGUGAAAUCCCCGCGCUCAACGUGGGAACUGCCUUUGAAGAUGGCAAACUGGAGUGUGUGAGAGGAUAGUGGAAUUCCGGGUGUAGGAGUGAAAUCCGUAGAUAUCUGGAGGAACAUCAGUGGCGAAGGCGACUAUCUGGCACAUAACUGACGCUGAGGAGCGAAAGCGUGGGUAGCAAACAGGAUUAGAUACCCUGUAGUC
rnacentral:rRNA from 1 species